rnacentral:tRNA from 1 species
UAACCAUCGGUGGUUCAGUGGUAGAAUGCUCCACUGCCACGCGGGCGGUCCGGGUUCGAUUCCCGGACGAUUAA